rnacentral:tRNA from 1 species
GUGGUUGUGGCUCAGUGGUAGAGUGCUUGCCUAGCAUGUGUGAGGCACUGGGUUUGAUUCUCAGCACCACA